rnacentral:rRNA from 1 species
GAUGAACGCUGGCGGCGUGCCUAAUACAUGCAAGUCGAGCGAACGGACGCGAAGCUUGCUUUUCUGAUGUUAGCGGCGGACGGGUGAGUAACACGUGGAUAACCUACCUAUAAGUCUGGGAUAACUUCGGGAAACCGGAGCUAAUACCGGAUAAUAUUUUGAACCGCAUGGUUCAAAAGUGAAAGACGGUCUUGCUGUCACUUAUAGAUGGAUCCGCGCUGCAUUAGCUAGUUGGUAAGGUAACGGCUUACCAAGGCAACGAUGCAUAGCCGACCUGAGAGGGUGAUCGGCCACACUGGAACUGAGACACGGUCCAGACUCCUACGGGAGGCAGCAGUAGGGAAUCUUCCGCAAUGGGCGAAAGCCUGACGGAGCAACGCCGCGUGAGUGAUGAAGGUCUUCGGAUCGUAAAACUCUGUUAUUAGGGAAGAACAUAUGUGGAAGUAACUGUGCACAUCUUGACGGUACCUAAUCAGAAAGCCACGGCUAACUACGUG